UUAAUAAAAACUAUUUCUACUUGCUUCUAAAAGAAGGUAGACUUUAAAUAAAUAUUAGAAAACUGAGCAGCCUCACUAUUCUGUGUGUGUUCUGCAGCAUUUGUUAAGUGGGUCCAUCUGCCUUCAAGUGUGUGCACAUGUGCAUGCGUGAGUGGACCAUGCGCGCCCCGGAGUACAGCAGGCGGUUCAGUCCAAGUCCAGGCCCAGAGAGCUGCACACGAUGCCGACGUCAAAACGCCAAAACAGAACAGAGCUCCAAGUAGCGCCCCGAAAGCGGCGGAGACCUCUACUGCAAAACACGCACCGAACGCACAGACACGUCCGGAUCCCUCACAUGUGACAGGCAGAACAUCCUCUGCCUCGACUCGCCUCUGCGGUCCUUAUUUAUUGACUUCAUCAUGACUGGGCUCAAUCCUCCUCCUCCUCCUCCUGCUGUUCGUCUCCUGUUCGGAAGCUAUAGGUCAUCUCGGAUUUGACAGAUAAAAAAUGUCUGAGGAAAGCCUCUAGAUGGCGUUUUGAACCGGAGGAGAGGUGACAGGUGUUCUCUAUCUCCUUGAUGACCUGCUGAGGAGUAUUUAAGGAGGAGGCUGCCAGAAACUCACUGCCAGAGUGUUGCCCUUUGUGGUACAGCUCAAGCCACAUUACCUUGCCUUUGCCUUGACCCUGCUUUGCUCUUUGUAAUUUUGGAUAUGUUGCCUUGCAGGUUACCUGAACCUGACUUUGCCUUCACCAUCGAACUCUGCCUGGAUAUCGUCUUCUGGAAAGAAGCUAUCCAACCCCAUGAACCAAGACUCAAACCUCCUGUUUCCUCAUUGGAUCAAACCAGCUGGCAGUCUCCUGAUUCCUUCAUUCCAUGGAUCUACCUCUGUGAACCCUGUCCACCCUCCUCCUCCCAUUGCACCAACUACAGAAACUCUUGGACUAUCAAUCAUCCUGGCACACCCGUGUUCAAUGUCUCCGGUCCCACGGGUCAACAACCUCCUGGUCUCAACACCGCCCUCUGGCGGAUCUCUCCCUCAAAUCAUUGGUGUCCCGGUUCCAGUCUCUUACACAUUUCUACAUACUGUCAAUAAACUUCUUACCGUUAAAA